rnacentral:rRNA from 1 species
CAGCCGCCGCGGGAAUACGUAGGGUGCGAGCGUUAAUCGGAAUUACUGGGCGUAAAGCGUGCGCAGGCGGUUUUGUAAGACAGGCGUGAAAUCCCCGGGCUCAACCUGGGAAUGGCGCUUGUGACUGCAAAGCUAGAGUGCGGCAGAGGGGGAUGGAAUUCCGCGUGUAGCAGUGAAAUGCGUAGAUAUGCGGAGGAACACCGAUGGCGAAGGCAAUCCCCUGGGCCUGCACUGACGCUCAUGCACGAAAGCGUGGGGAGCAAACAGGAUUAGAUACCCCAGUAGUCCCUGUCUCUUAUAA